GGCGCUCGGACAUCGACCCCAGGUCAGGCGUGGCCACCCGCUGAAUUUAA
rnacentral:rRNA from 1 species